AUUGAACGCUGGCGGCAUGCCUUACACAUGCAAGUCGAACGGUAGGGGGAGCAAUCCCCCGAGAGUGGCGAACGGGUGAGUAAUGCAUCGGAACGUGCCCAGUCGUGGGGGAUAACGUAGCGAAAGCUACGCUAAUACCGCAUACGACCUGAGGGUGAAAGCGGGGGACCUGCAAGGGCCUCGCGCGAUUGGAGCGGCCGAUGUCAGAUUAGGUAGUUGGUGGGGUAAAAGCCUACCAAGCCUGCGAUCUGUAGCUGGUCUGAGAGGACGACCAGCCACACUGGGACUGAGACACGGCCCAGACUCCUACGGGAGGCAG
rnacentral:rRNA from 1 species